CGUGCCAGCAGCCGCGGUAAUACGGAGGGCGCAAGCGUUACUCGGAAUCACUGGGCGUAAAGAGCGUGUAGGCGGAUAGAUAAGUCAGAAGUGAAAUCCUAUGGCUCAACCAUAGAACUGCUUUUGAAACUGUUUAUCUAGAGUGUGGGAGAGGUAGAUGGAAUUUCUGGUGUAGGGGUAAAAUCCGUAGAGAUCAGAAGGAAUACCGAUUGCGAAGGCGAUCUACUGGAACAUAACUGACGCUGAGACGCGAAAGCGUGGGGAGCAAACAGGAUUAGAUACCCUGGUAGUCCACGCCCUAA
rnacentral:rRNA from 1 species